rnacentral:rRNA from 1 species
CACAUUGGGACUGAGAUACGGCCCAGACUCCUACGGGAGGCAGCAGUAUGGAAUUUUGCGCAAUGGACGAAAGUCUGACGCAGCAACGCCGCGUGAGCGAUGAAGGUUUUCGGAUCGUAAAGCUCUGUUGGGUGGGACGAAACGUUUCGAGGUUAAUAUCCUCGAGAUCUGACGGUACCAUUCGAGGAAGCUCCGGCCAACUACGUGCCAGCAGCCGCGGUAAUACGUAGGGAGCAAGCGUUGUUCGGAAUCACUGGGCGUAAAGGGAGUGUAGGCGGAAAGGCAAGUCAGAAGUGUAAUCUACGGGCUCAACCCGUAGCUCGCUUUUGAUACUGCUUUUCUUGAGUAGUGGAGAGGGAAACGGAAUUCCAGGUGUAGCGGCGGAAUGCGUAGAUAUCUGGAAGAACACCAGUAGCGAAGGCGGUUUCCUGGCCACAUACUGACGCUGAGGCUCGAAAGCGUGGGGAGCAAACAGGAUUAGAUACCCUGGUAGUCCACGCCGUAAACGAUGGGCACUAGAUAUCGGGGAAUUCAUUUUCUUCGGUGUCGCAGUUAACGCGAUAAGUGCCCCGCCUGGGGAGUACGCUCGCAAGGGUGAAACUCAAAGGAAUUGACGGGGGCCCGCACAAGCGGUGGAGCAUGCGCUUUAAUUCGAUGCAACGCGAAGAACCUUACCUGGGCUUGACAUGGGAGUGAAACUUCCCAGAGAUGGGAAGCCUUCCUUCGGGAACACUCUACACAGGUGCUGCAUGGUUGUCGUCAGCUCGUGUCGUGAGAUGUUGGGUUAAGUCCCGCAACGAGCGCAACCCUCGCCCUUAGUUGCCAUCAGGUAAUGCUGGGAACUCUAGGGGGACCGCCUGGAACAACCAGGAGGAAGGUGGGGAUGAUGUCAAAUCAUCAUGGCUCUUACGUCCAGGGCUAGACGCGUGCUACAAUGGUCGGUACAGAAGGAUGCCAAGUCGCGAGACCGAGCUAAUCCAUUAAAACCGGCCUCAGUUCGGAUUGGAGUCUGCAAUUCGACUCCAUGAAGUUGGAAUCGCUAGUAAUCGCGGAUCAGCAUGCCGCGGUGAAUAUGUUCCCGGGCCUUGUACACACCGCCCGUCAAGCCACGAAAGAUGGGAGUGCCCGAAGUCGCUUUGUCCAACCCGCAAGGGGGGACGGUGCCGAAGGUAAGACUAUUGACUUGGGGCUAAGUCGU